AUACGGAGGGAGCAAGCGUUAUUCGGAAUCACUGGGCGUAAAGGACGCGUAGGCGGGUUUGUAAGUCAGGUGCGAAAUCCUACAGCUCAACUGUAGAACUGCACUUGAAACUACAGACCUAGAGUAUGGAAGGGGCAGAUGGAAUUAGUGGUGUAGGGGUAAAAUCCGUAGAUAUCACUAGGAAUACCGAAAGCGAAGGCGAUCUGCUGGGACAUUACUGACGCUGAGGCGUGAAAGCGUGGGGAGCAAACAGGAUUAGAAACCCUAGUAGUCC
rnacentral:rRNA from 1 species